rnacentral:rRNA from 1 species
GAUGAACGCUGGCGGCGUGCCUAAUACAUGCAAGUAGAACGCUGAAGGAGGAGCUUGCUCUUCUGGAUGAGUUGCGAACGGGUGAGUAACGCGUAGGUAACCUGCCUGGUAGCGGGGGAUAACUAUUGGAAACGAUAGCUAAUACCGCAUGACAACAGUUAUUGCAUGAUAACUGUUUAAAAGGGGCAACUGCUCCACUACCAGAUGGACCUGCGUUGUAUUAGCUAGUUGGUGAGGUAACGGCUCACCAAGGCGACGAUACAUAGCCGACCUGAGAGGGGGAUCGGCCACACUGGGACUGAGACACGGCCCAGACUCCUCCGGGAGGCAGCAGUAGGGAAUCUUCGGCAAUGGACGGAAGUCUGACCGAGCAACGCCGAGUGAGUGAAGAAGGGUUUCGGAUCGUAAAGCUCUGUUGUACGAGAAGAAAGAGGGUGAGAGUGGAAAGUUCACAAUGUGACGGUAUCUUACCAGAAAGAGACGGCUAACUACGUG